GUGUUUGGGUGUUUAUUGGGGUGCCAGGUUGUGUAUUGGGGUGCUGGGGUGUUUAUUGGGGUGUCAGGUUGUGUAUUGGGGUGCUGGGGUGUAUAUGGUGGUGCCAGGGUGAGAAUUGGGGUGCCAGGGUAGAUUUUGGGGUGCUGGGUGGAUAUUGAGGUGCAGAGGUUCUCCAUCAGGGUGGCCAGACUUGGUGGGUAGGGCAUGGCUAUCAGGACAGACCAGCUUACAAAAAAGGGGUGCUGGGGUAUCCGGAAAGCAAUACCAGCGAAACCCCCCAUUCCUGUAGCCAACACUCCUGGCUGCCUCAUUAUCGACCCUUUUAAUCAGAAUGGAGUGGGAAAGGGACCUCAGAGGUCUUCUAGUCCAACCCCCUGCUCAAGCAGGAGACCCAAUAUGAUUCCAGACAGGUGGCUCUCCAAUCUCUUUUU